rnacentral:rRNA from 1 species
CGCAAUGGGCGAAAGCCUGACGUAGCGACACCGCGUGAGCGAAGAAGCCCUUUGGGGUGUAAAGCUCUGUCAGCUGGAACGAAACAAAUGACGGUACCAGCAGAGGAAGCAUCGGCUAACUACGUGCCAGCAGCCGCGGUAAGACGUAGGAUGCAAGCGUUGUCCGGAUUUAUUGGGCGUAAAGAGUUCGUAGGCGGUUUGUUAAGUCUGAUGUUAAAGAUCAGGGCCCAACCCUGGGAGUGCAUUGGAUACUGGCAGACUGGAGUGUGGUAGAGGUAAGUGGAAUUCCUGGUGUAGCGGUGAAAUGCGUAGAUAUCAGGAAGAACACCGGUGGCGUAGGCGACUUACUGGGCCAUAACUGACACUAAGAGACGAAAGCUA